UGUAAGACAGAAACCACUGUGGUGAAAGGC
rnacentral:piRNA from 1 species